CGCAAUGGGCGAAAGCCUGACGCAGCGACGCCGCGUGGGGAUGAAGGUCUUCGGAUUGUAAACCCCUUUCGGGAGGGAAGAUGGAAUGGGGUAACCCAUUUGGACGGUACCUCCAGAAGCAGCCACGGCUAACUUCGUGCCAGCAGCCGCGGUAAUACGUAGGUGGCGAGCGUUGUCCGGAUUUACUGGGCGUAAAGAGCGCGCAGGCGGCUGGUCAAGUCCGAUGUGAAAGCUCCCGGCUUAACUGGGAAAUUGCAUCGGAAACUGAUCGGCUGGAAGGUGGGAGAGGGUAGCGGAAUUCCCGGUGUAGUGGUGAAAUGCGUAGAUAUCGGGAGGAACACCAGUGGCGAAAGCGGCUACCUGGCCCAUUCUUGACGCUGAGGCGCGAAAGCUAGGGGAGCAAACGGGAUUAGAUACCCCGGUAGUCCUAGCCGUAAACGAUGAACACUAGGCGUAGUCGGUAUCGACCCCGGCUGUGCCGUAGCUAACGCAUUAAGUGUUCCGCCUGGGGAGUACGGCCGCAAGGCUA
rnacentral:rRNA from 1 species